rnacentral:tRNA from 1 species
GUUGUGGCUCAGUGGUAGAGCACUUGCCUAGCAUGUGUAAGGCACUGGGUUCAAUCCUCAGCACCACA